rnacentral:rRNA from 1 species
ACACCGGCAGCCCAAGUGGUGGCCAUUUUUAUUGGGCCUAAAGCGUUCGUAGCCGGCCUGAUAAGUCUCUGGUGAAAUCCCGCAGCUUAACUGUGGGAAUUGCUGGAGAUACUAUCAGGCUUGAGGUCGGGAGAGGUUAGAGGUACUCCCAGGGUAGGGGUGAAAUCCUAUAAUCCUGGGAGGACCACCUGUGGCGAAGGCGUCUAACUGGAACGAACCUGACGGUGAGUAACGAAAGCCAAGGGCGCGAACCGGAUUAGAUACCCGGGUAGUCGUGGCCGUAAACGAUGUGGACGUGGUGUUGGGAUGGCCUCGAGCUGCCCCAGUGCCGAAGGGAAGCUGUUAAGUCCACCGCCUGGGAAGUACGGUCGCAAGACUGAAACUUAAAGGAAUUGGCGGGG